rnacentral:tRNA from 1 species
GCCUCGGUAUCCCAAUUGGCAGAGGAGACGGAUUCAAAACCCGUUUGUUGUGGGUUCGACUCCCACCCGAGGCA